AGGUUGUUGUAGGCAAUGCCUUGGCUUAACUUGCGAAGAAGGAAGAAGCGUACAUCUUUUUUAUGGUAGAACUGUGAUUUUUCAACCUCAUGUCUCUGAACACCAGCACAGCACCUUUAUUGGCGUGCUAUUGUAUGCAGUGGAAUAA
rnacentral:rRNA from 1 species